UUCCGUAGGUGAACCUGCGGAGGGAUCAUUACCGAGUUUACAACUCCCAAACCCAAUGUGAACCAUACCAAACUGUUGCCUCGGCGGGGUCACGCCCCGGGUGCGUCGCAGCCCCGGAACCAGGCGCCCGCCGGAGGGACCAACCAAACUCUUUACUGUAGUCCCCUCGCGGACGUUAUUUCUUACAGCUCUGAGCAAAAAAUUCAAAAUGAAUCAAAACUUUCAACAACGGAUCUCUUGGUUCUGGCAUCGAUGAAGAACGCAGCGAAAUGCGAUAAGUAAUGUGAAUUGCAGAAUUCAGUGAAUCAUCGAAUCUUUGAACGCACAUUGCGCCCGCCAGUAUUCUGGCGGGCAUGCCUGUCCGAGCGUCAUUUCAACCCUCGAACCCCUCCGGGGGGUCGGCGUUGGGGAUCGGGAACCCCUCAGACGGGAUCCCGGCCCCGAAAUACAGUGGCGGUCUCGCCGCAGCCUCUCCUGCGCAGUAGUUUGCACAACUCGCACCGGGAGCGCGGCGCGUCCACGUCCGUAAAACACCCAACUUUCUGAAAUGUUGACCUCGGAUCAGGUAGGAAUACCCGCUGAACUUAAGCAUAUCAAUAA
rnacentral:rRNA from 1 species